GGUAUUUAACUCCAAAUUUUUAAACUCACACAUGGCUUUGUUAGGAGAUGCCUUACUAUAAUCAUUUGAUGAUGAGUACAACUAGUUUUAAUGUUUUGUUUUGUUACUGGGUUCAGUCACAGUAGUUCUCUACCACAAUGCAUGGUAAUUGUAUGUGAUGCUGCGAGUUUCUUUCUCUUGCCUAAAAUAUGCAGGGUGCAGCUGCUUGUUUAGAAGAAUUGUUGAUUUAGUAGCUGCUUGUUUAGAAGAAUUGUUGAUUUUAGCAGCUGCUUGUUUAGAAGAAUUGUUGAUUUUAGCAGCUGCUUGUUUAGAUGUACAUGGGGAUGACAGUGUGAAGUAUCUGUAAUGGAAGUUUGUUAUAAGGAUAUAUUGGAAGGACUUCUUAAAUUUCCAAGAAACAGGGAAUGUGCUGACUGCAAAAGCAAGAGCAAGUAGUGGGCACAUGGCAGUUACAGAUACUUCACAAAAUGAAACAUUGGAGGUUGGACCUGGGAAUUUGAAGAUGUCCUUUUCAUCAACAUCUAGACAACCGAAACGUAUGACGAAUUAUAGAACAGGGGUGAGUUGUAUUUUCUUUCCUGAUUACAAGCUCCUGGGUUAAUUAGCUUCAAAGUUUCUUGUAAAUUGGGCUUCUUUG